rnacentral:rRNA from 1 species
UACGAAGGGGGCUAGCGUUUUUCGGAUUUACUGGGCGUAAAGCGCAUGUAGGCGGGUCGUUAAGUUGGGGGUGAAAUCCCGAGGCUCAACCUCGGAACUGCCUUCAAAACAGGCGCCCUGGAGCAGGAGAGAGGCAAGUGGAAUUGCGAGUGUAGAGGUGAAAUUCGUAGAUAUUCGCAGGAACACCAGUGGCGAAGGCGACUUGCUGGAUCUUUGCUGACGCUGAGAUGCGAAAGCGUGGGGAGCAAACAGG